AGUGAACGCUGGCGGUAGGCCUAACACAUGCAAGUCGAACGGCAGCACAGUAAGAGCUUGCUCUUACGGGUGGCGAGUGGCGGACGGGUGAGGAAUACAUCGGAAUCUACUUUUUCGUGGGGGAUAACGUAGGGAAACUUACGCUAAUACCGCAUACGACCUACGGGUGAAAGCAGGGGAUCUUCGGACCUUGCGCGAUUGAAUGAGCCGAUGUCGGAUUAGCUAGUUGGCGGGGUAAAGGCCCACCAAGGCGACGAUCCGUAGCUGGUCUGAGGGGAUGAUCAGCCACACUGGAACUGAGACACGGUCCAGACUCCUACGGGAGGCAGCAGUGGGGAAUAUUGGACAAUGGGCGCAAGCCUGAUCCAGCCAUACCGCGUGGGUGAAGAAGGCCUUCGGGUUGUAAAGCCCUUUUGUUGGGAAAGAAAAGCAGCAGGUUAAUACCCCACUGUUCUGACGGUACCCAAAGAAUAAGCACCGGCUAACUUCGUG
rnacentral:rRNA from 1 species